UACGGAGGGUGCGAGCGUUGUCCGGAAUUACUGGGCGUAAAGGGCGCGUAGGCGGUUCGUUAAGUCCUGUGUGAAAUCCCCCGGCUCAACUGGGGAACUGCACAGGAAACUAGCGGGCUUGAGUUCGGGAGAGGGAAGCGGAAUUCCGGGUGUAGCGGUGAAAUGCGUAGAUAUCCGGAGGAACACCGGUGGCGAAGGCGGCUUCCUGGACCGACACUGACGCUGAGGCGCGAAAGCUAGGGGAGCAAACGGG
rnacentral:rRNA from 1 species